ACGGCGAGUGAAGCGGUAAAAGCUCAAAUUUGAAAUCUGGUACUUUCAGUGCCCGAGUUGUAAUUUGUAGAAUUUGUCUUUGAUUUGGUCCUUGUUUAUGUUCCUUGGAACAGGACGUCAUAGAGGGUGAGAAUCCCGUGUGGCGAGGAUACCAUUUCUUUGUAAGACUUUUUCGAAGAGUCGAGUUGUUUGGGAAUGCAGCUCUAAGUGGGUGGUAAAUUCCAUCUAAAGCUAAAUAUUGGCGAGAGACCGAUAGCGAACAAGUACAGUGAUGGAAAGAUGAAAAGAACUUUGAAAAGAGAGUGAAAAAGUACGUGAAAUUGUUGAAAGGGAAGGGCAUUUGAUCAGACAUGGUGUUUUUUGCAUGCACUCGCCUCUCGUGGGCUUGGGCCUCUCAAAAAUUUCACUGGGCCAACAUCAAUUUUGGCGGCAGGAUAAAUCAUUAGGAACGUAGCUUCUUCGGGAGUAUUAUAGCCUAUUGGAAUACUGUCAGCUGGGAUUGAGGACUGCGCUUUUGCAAGGAUGUUGGCAUAAUGGUUAAAUGCCGCCCGUCUUGAAACACGGACCAAGGAGUCUAACGUCUAUGCGAGUGUUUGGGUGUAAAACCCGUACGCGUAAUGAAAGUGAACGUAGGUUGGGGCCUUCGGGUGCACAAUCGACCGACCUUGAUGUAUUCGGAUAGGUUUGAGUAAGAGCAUAGCUGUUGGGACCCGAAAGAUGGUGAACUAUGCCUGAAUAGGGUGAAGCCAGAGGAAACUCUGGUGGAGGCUCGUAGCGGUUCUGACGUGCAAAUCGAUCGUCGAAUUUGGGUAUAGGGGC
rnacentral:rRNA from 1 species